AUUGAACGCUGGCGGCAGGCCUAACACAUGCCAGUCGAGCGGAUGAAGGGAGCUUGCUCCUGGAUUCAGCGGCGGACGGGUGAGUAAUGCCUAGGAAUCUGCCUGGUAGUGGGGGAUAACGUCCGGAAACGGGCGCUAAUACCGCAUACGUCCUGAGGGAGAAAGUGGGGGAUCUUCGGACCUCACGCUAUCAGAUGAGCCUAGGUCGGAUUAGCUAGUUGGUGGGGUAAAGACCUACCAAGGCGACGAUCCGUAACUGGUCUGAGAGGUUGAUCAGUCACACUGGAACUGAGACACGGUCCAGACUCCUACGGGAGGCAGCAGUGGGGAAUAUUGGACAAUGGGCGAAAGCCUGAUCCAGCCAUGCCGCGUGUGUGAAGAAGGUCUUCGGAUUGUAAAGCACUUUAAGUUGGGAGGAAGGGCAGUAAGUUAAUACCUUGCUGUUUUGACGUUACCAACAGAAUAAGCACCGGCUAACUUCGUG
rnacentral:rRNA from 1 species